rnacentral:rRNA from 1 species
AGGUAACAGCCCUGUAGUCAAAACUUCGUUCUCUCCUGAGUGGAUCCUGAGUACGGCGGAACACGUGAAAUUCCGUCGGAAUCCGGGAGGACCAUCUCCCAAGGCUAAAUACUCCCUAGUGACCGAUAGUGAACCAGUACCGUGAGGGAAAGGUGAAAAGCACCCCGGAAGGGGAGUGAAAGAGAUCCUGAAACCGUGUGCCUACAAGUAGUCAGAGCCCGUUAACGGGUGAUGGCGUGCCUUUUGUAGAAUGAACCGGCGAGUUACGAUCCCGUGCAAGGUUAAGCAGAAGAUGCGGAGCCGCAGCGAAAGCGAGUCUGAAUAGGGCGCAUGAGUACGUGGUCGUAGACCCGAAACCAGGUGAUCUACCCAUGUCCAGGGUGAAGUUCAGGUAACACUGAAUGGAGGCCCGAACCCACGCACGUUGAAAAGUGCGGGGAUGAGGUGUGGGUAGGGGUGAAAUGCCAAUCGAACCUGGAGAUAGCUGGUUCUCUCCGAAAUAGCUUUAGGGCUAGCCUCAAGGUAAGAGUCUUGGAGGUAGAGCACUGAUUGGACUAGGGGCCCCUACCGGGUUACCGAAUUCAGUCAAACUCCGAAUGCCAAUGACUUAUCCUUGGGAGUCAGACUGCGAGUGAUAAGAUCCGUAGUCGAAAGGGAAACAGCCCAGACCGCCAGCUAAGGUCCCAAAGUAUACGUUAAGUGGAAAAGGAUGUGGAGUUGCUUAGACAACCAGGAUGUUGGCUUAGAAGCAGCCACCAUUUAAAGAGUGCGUAAUAGCUCACUGGUCGAGUGACUCUGCGCCGAAAAUGUACCGGGGCUAAACGUAUCACCGAAGCUGCGGACUGUUCUUCGAACAGUGGUAGGAGAGCGUUCUAAGGGCUGUGAAGCCAGACCGGAAGGACUGGUGGAGCGCUUAGAAGUGAGAAUGCCGGUAUGAGUAGCGAAAGAGGGGUGAGAAUCCCCUCCACCGAAUGCCUAAGGUUUCCUGAGGAAGGCUCGUCCGCUCAGGGUUAGUCGGGACCUAAGCCGAGGCCGAAAGGCGUAGGCGAUGGACAACAGGUUGAUAUUCCUGUACCACCUCCUCACCAUUUGAGCAAUGGGGGGACGCAGGAGGAUAGGGUAAGCGCGGUAUUGGAUAUCCGCGUCCAAGCAGUUAGGCUGGGAAAUAGGCAAAUCCGUUUCCCAUA